UCUCUGAUUUGAGGCCUAGCUAGACACUGUUAGAAGAAGGCAUGGAUCACGUUUGUGUUGAAUUUUCAGGUCGAUGAUUGCAGCUCUUUGAUGCGAGAACAAACGCACUACUUGUUGAUGGAAUUUGGCCUCACUUCUUUCUUGCUUUCAUUGUCAACAAGCACAAACAUUUGCUGCUGCUUCUGAAUAUUCAUCAACAAGCACCGAAUGAAAUUGUACCGAGCACCCUUUCGUGAUUCAAAUAGGCACCAAAGAAUCUCAAAUGGGCUCCUUUUCCAAUUCAUUCAAUGUAUGGGAAAAAUUGAGUGGAUAUCUUGGUGUUCAUGGCAUAUAUUUUAGACACUUUCUAAGUGGAUCCUCGUAUGUUAAUUCAGUUUAUUAUAGAUAGAAAUAACAUGUGUGCCAUAUGCUUAAUAUGUGUGCACAGUUUAGACCGUUAGGGGCACCAAAUUUAACAACAUUGAAGGGUCUGCAGUACUUGAGCUGUGUUUGAACUUUAGCUGUGCUUGUCUUUUAAUUAAUUGAACUCAAAGAAUGGUUAGUUCAGUUCAUGUAUUUUCUCUACUUGAUAUCAGUAGUUCAGAACCAUAAUUUGUUUGUGAUGACAUGUUUCUCUUAAUAUGUGACUUAAUUAUGACUGGAAGUGCUGAAAAAUGGGCUGGUAAGAAUAACUUCGCAAUGUUUAAUCAUGGUUCACACGAAUAUCUGCUAGUUAAGGGAAAACAUUAGUUUUAUCUCAGUUCACUCCGCACUUUGAAUAUGGCACCGUUUAGAAAUGCACUGAGCACCAUUCAUGCCAAUGAGCAGGCUCUUUUCUAUUUAGUGUAAGGCACCACUUGUUCAAAUAAUGGAUGAAGUAGGAAAUUGUAUUUCCUGAAAUAGAUUUCAGACAUUUUCUUAGUGAAUUCUCACAUGUGAUACAUAUGUGUGCGCUAUUUUUUUUCCUAAAUUCUUGUUUGACAUAUUUCCAAAUUUAACAGCCUCCAAGGGUCUGUAGUUAUAUUGAUGUUUUAACUCUAGCUGCGCUUUAAUUAAUUGAAUUGAACAGUUCUCUGGUUGAUAAUUAGGUCUAUGUUUAUUUUAUUGAAAUGAUCGAGACAUAUCAGUACUACAAUGAUUAUCAUUUGGCUGGUGAUCCUUUGAUUGCGUUUGCAGAACUGGAGAUAAUAAUUUGUCCGGACUAAUGGCAGCUAGGUAAGCAGAUUGGGAAGGCACCUUUGUGAAAUAAGGCAUGCGCCCUGUAUCGCCUUAGUCUGAGCUUGCACAUGUAUUGAGCUUCUGAGCUUGCACAGAGCAUGCUGAUCACCUGUCCAGGAUGAUACAGCUGGGAGAUGACGUUUAAAAUCACAAGCCUAUCUUAGUAACACCGGUUCUGCCUCUCCAGCACUGAAUUUUCAGUUUAGUUGGUGAGAAUAGUUGAGAUUUCUCCUUCUCUAUGAUUUUCUUUUUUAUUUCCAAUUUCUUUUAUUUGAAUGACACAUAUUUUGUGGUUUGAUUUGGUGUAAAAAGAUCAUUUGUAUC